AAGACUGUGCUUUCAGGGAUCAUUUUUAUAGUUGGUGAUUAGAGAAGGGUCUGUGAAAAGCUGGUUUUGCUAACCAUGAUGAAGAAUUGUAGUGUUUCCUUCUGAGCAUGAUAGUAGCAGAGAGUGUUGGUCUGUGCCAGUUACUUUUUGCUGUAGAGGAUUGUCCUGUUUUUUUAUGGGAAAAGCAGGGGAAGGAAGCACAGUCUGAGUGGUU
ensembl:snoRNA